rnacentral:rRNA from 1 species
GGCGAACGCUGGCGGCGUGCUUAACACAUGCAAGUCGAACGGUGAAGCGCCUUCCUUUUUGGUGGGUGUGGAUGAGUGGCGAACGGGUGAGUAACACGUGAGUAACCUGCCCCCUUCUUCUGGAUAACCGCAUGAAAGUGUGGCUAAUACGGGAUAUUCUGGGUCUGUCGCAUGAUGGGUCUGGGAAAGUUAUUGUUUCGGUUGGGGGUGGGCUCGCGGCCUAUCAGCUUGUUGGUGGGGUGAUGGCCUACCAAGGCGGUGACGGGUAGCCGGCCUGAGAGGGUGGACGGUCACACUGGGAGUGAGACACGGCCCAGACUCCUACGGGGGACAGCAGUGGGGAAUAUUGCACGAUGGGCGCAAGCCUGAUGCAGCGACGCCGCGUGAGGGAUGGAGGCCUUCGGGUUGUGAACCUCUUGCGCCAGUGAAGCAGGCCUGCCUCGUAUGUGGGUGGGUUGACGGUAGCUUGAUAAGAAGCGCCGGAUAACUACGUG